AUUACUAUAAAAUACCCUUCAUAUGUUAGCCUUCGAAAUAGAUUUCGGGCUUGUUUUUUAACAUAACAGGAGGCGAUUUCAUGCUCCUUAGACUCCGAUUUAACAAAAUAUUUUAUAUAAUUGGGAUACUAAUAUACAAGGCUAUCAGUUUAAAAUAAAAUUUUAUAAUAAUCAUAUCUUUACUGUGAUGAAAAGCAAGGUGAUGUAAUUUAGGUGCAAGUUCAAAGGUUUUUGCUGACUACCUACUAUACUGUGCUGACUGAAGAGAAAUCACAGCACGUGUUCAAUGACCCUAUCAGACGAGGUUACUAGGUUGUAAACACUCAGCAGCUUACACAUUGAGUGUGCGUGUUUGCGCCGGCUGUUGACUCGCAUUGUCAGGCGCGACACGUCGCUCACUCAUUGUCUGCCAAUUGCCUCUAAUUAACUUCUUGAAACUACCACUUGAGCUCCUAACUUGCGAAUCUAAAUCGGGCGCGGGCGGCGG
rnacentral:misc_RNA from 1 species